UUCAUUUUGAGGGUGUUUAAGAGGUUAAUAUAAAUUGAGAAUUUGAAAACACCUCUUUCUUCAUUUCAGAUUAUUCUGUAGAAGGCAAAGCAGCUUUGAGAUGGGAUUUUUUUAGUUAAAUAAAUUUCCAGAACCAUCUGAGCAAAACCAAAAAGAUUGCAUUGCAGCCUGAAGAGAUUUUUGACUCCACAGUUGCAGAGAUCUACGCAUGGGACAAUUCUCUCAUCAAUACCCCAUACUUGAGAAAAAUGGGCAUUCCUUAGAAGUGAU
rnacentral:lncRNA from 1 species